rnacentral:pre_miRNA from 1 species
AUUUUUUAGACAAAUUCCGCCACACAUUCCAAUUAAAUUUGGAAUAUGUGGCGGAAUUUGUCUAAAAAA